GUCAAUACUGACUGUGAAUUUUACUGAUGAUGAUGAUCUAGAGCGGGAUGAUUACGAAUACUUUAAGGGAUAUCUCAAAAAUUGUGAAGAUAUUGGAAUACUUCCACUGCAAAAUGUGCUCCUUUAUUUUUCUAUAUACAAGUACCUACCCGUAUUUGGCUUUCAGUUCUCAUCAACGUUGACAUUUCAUGAAGAAACUUAUCCAAUGGCUUCAACUUGCGCACUUAGCUUAGUAAUACCUAUGAAGCACAUGGAUUAUGUCAACUUUAGACUGGCAAUGGACAAGGCUAUGGUCUAUUAUGGUGAUUAAGGAAAAACAUAUUUGCACUUUUAUCACUUUUACUGUGACAUUGGUUAGACAAGUAUCAUUUGCUCUCAUCAUUUAUUCUUAUCACUGGUUAAACAUGUUAUCAUUAAUCCUGA